rnacentral:lncRNA from 1 species
GCGGGAAGACGGGGGCGCGGGGCCGUGGGGAGGCCACAGAGGAGCCUUGCCAAGCAAAAGACUCGGGACAAACGGGACCUUAAGGCCCGGCUCCAGCAUCCAGAAGACUGCAGAGGUCAGGGAGGAGGGCCGGCCGCCGAGGACCUGUGUCAUGUCCUCCACCGUGAACAACGGGGCUACCAGCAUGCCAGCUCCUCCCGACGCUGCCAACGGCUUCCCGCAGCCCGGAGGCUCGUCCGGGUCCUGGCCGCGCGCGGAGGAGGAGCUGCGCGCCGCCGAGCCAGGCUUGGUGAAGCGCGCGCACCGGGAGAUCCUGGACCACGAGCGCAAGCGGCGCGUAGAGCUCAAGUGCAUGGAGUUGCAGGAGAUGAUGGAGGAGCAGGGGUACUCAGAGGAGGAGAUCCGGCAGAAGGUCGGGACCUUCGGGCAGAUGCUGAUGGAGAAGGAGGGAGUACUGACAAAGGAGGACCGGCCUGGGGCCCACAUCGUGGCAGAGACUCCGCGACGAAUGGAGGGCUUGGAGCCCGGCCUGGAGUACCCACCCUUCGAUGAGGACGAUGGCCCGGUUGAUUGCGACUGCCCCGUCGCCUGCUACCGCGGGCACCGGGGUUACAGGACCAAGCACUGGUCCAGCAGCUCCGCAUCGCCCCCUCCU